rnacentral:misc_RNA from 1 species
GAAAUGCGAUAAGUAGUGUGAAUUGCAGAAUUCAGUGAAUCAUCGAAUCUUUGAACGCACAUUGCGCCCCUUGGUAUUCCAUGGGGCAUGCCUGUUCGAGCGUCAUUUGUACCCUCAAGCUCUGCUUGGUGUUGGGUGUUUGUCCCGUCUCCGCGCGUGGACUCGCCCCAAAGUGAUUGGCAGCCGGCGUUCUGGUCCCGGAGCGCAGCACAUGUCGCGCAAACGAGUGCCUUGGUACGGCGGCGUCCAUAAGCCCCUCUCUCACGCUCUUGACCUCGGAUCAGGUAGGGAUACCCGCUGAACUUAAGC